GGAGGUUUUCGAGAGCUAAAGAAUCAAAUUCUGCAAAACUGCAGAUUUUGAGCUCUCGGGGACCGGUCCCUGGUGGGAGAGACCGGUCCCCGAACGCGUGCAGAAUGAGACAGCUGAAAAAUCGGCCAAGUCCUGGAAGGACAGCUCUCGGGAACCGGUCUCUGUCUGAGAGACCGGUCCCCCAGAGACCGGUCCCACCAGGGAGGGACCGGAUGCAUUGCGCGCGGCAGCUCUGGCUGCGCAGGGUGGACCUUCGGGGACCGGUCCCUGCUCGGGGAGACCGGUCUCUGCCUGCGAAAACUGCCCAGUCCAGGC
rnacentral:lncRNA from 1 species